AUAACACCGAUUAUUUUUGCAUAGACGGUUAACGUCUCUUCUACGUUACUUUAUAACGAAGUGUGUUCUUAAUUGUGAACUAAUAACAAAUCACAAAAGACCAUUCGUAAAACAAAGUAGGUUUCCAUGCAUUAGCUGGGCAAAUACUUGUCUCAAAAAAUCUAUAUUUAGUAUUAAUUUAGUUUCUCAGGGUUUGUCGAUUUUAAAAGUCUUAAACCACUUGUUGCAUAGCAUUGAGUACUCAAAACUGUUAUUGUAAUACACAGGUGCUAUUUGCAACAACAAUUUAAGGUGUCAGAAUGAGCAAAUUCCAAAUAUUUAAUGUACGACAUCACAUAGUAU